rnacentral:lncRNA from 1 species
AACAAGUAGCUGUGGGAACGUGGUGGCGCAGACCCUUCACCCAGGGAGCCCUGUGGGCUAGAAACACCAGACAGCCAGGAUGUGGCGAGAGACUGCCCAACACACUGUCUGUGUGAGGCAGAGGAAGGAAGGAGAUGAAGGAAGAAACAGGUAGGUAGGAGGGCGAGAUCCCAAGCAAGUCAGGACAACUCCCACGCCUUGCCCAGGAGCCUUAAGAAGCCCAGGCACCUGCUGAGUGAAAGAGGAUAUAUUUAUUGGCUGAGCAAGAAGGGAAGGUACAGUUGGUAAUGGCUGCUUCUAGAAGCCACCAGUCUCAGGUUCACUUGUUCCGAGCCCAGUUUCCUCCAAGGUGGCUGUACUGAGCAUCAUCUCGAUCUCGGAGGGGCUAAGAGAGGAGAAGAGAAAACGGUCAGGAGGCAGGGUUAGAACUCUUCAAGGAAGGGCCCCAGCAGGCCCUGACGAUGAGAGCUCCUGCCUGACCUCUCCAGUCACACCCAGCAAUGAACUCCCCAGUAGGACCCUUCCCACGUGCAAACAGCAUUCAGUGUGAGCCUCUCUAUCCCCACUUACCCUCCCUUCAUUCCUGCCUCCUUCCCCUCAACGCUCACCUGAUAGACCUGGUCAUUCCUCAACAGAGCUUGUGUGUCGGCAGCUAGAAGAACCAGAGAGAGACAUCAAUGGCCUAGCAGAUGGGACUGUGAGAUCCACCCUCCCACACCCUCAGAAGUCUGCAUGAGUGAUAUGAACACACAAGUUCUUUCAACAGUCAAAGUUCUAGGAGUCUUUAGGAGAUUGCAAGAGUAACUCCCAGCUGAGACUAAACCUACCACCAGCCCCAUUCCUUAGCUGGUGCAUAAGCUCACUGGUACACACA